UACGUAGGGAGCUAGCGUUGUUCGGAAUUACUGGGCGUAAAGCGCACGUAGGCGGCUUUGUAAGUUAGAUGUGAAAGCCCGGAGCUCAACUCCGGAAUUGCCUUUAAGACUGCAUCGCUUGAAUCCGGGAGAGGGGAGUGGAAUUCCGAGUGUAGAGGUGAAAUUCGUAGAUAUUCGGAAGAACACCAGUGGCGAAGGCGGCUCACUGGACCGGUAUUGACGCUGAGGUGCGAAAGCGUGGGGAGCAAACAGG
rnacentral:rRNA from 1 species